GAAAUGCGAUAAGUAAUGUGAAUUGCAGAAUUCAGUGAAUCAUCGAAUCUUUGAACGCACAUUGCGCCCCUGGUAUUCCGGGGGGCAUGCCUGUUCGAGCGUCAUUUCACCACUCAAGCCUCGCUUGGUAUUGGGCAACGCGGUCCGCCGCGUGCCUCAAAUCGACCGGCUGGGUCUUCUGUCCCCUAAGCGUUGUGGAAACUAUUCGCUAAAGGGUGCUCGGGAGGCUACGCCGUAAAACAACCCCAUUUCUAAGGUUGACCUCGGAUCAGGUAGGGAUACCCGCUGAACUUAAGC
rnacentral:misc_RNA from 1 species